CAGUGCCGGGGCAGUGCCAGGAGCAAUAGUGGGGAAAGAGAAGCUCGACGUGCUCUCCUCUCCCUCACUCACUGAAGCAGUGCGGCUGCGAGCCACCCUGCUUUUCUUCCUGGCUGCAUUUAUUAGAGUCUUGUCUCUUCUCCUCUCCCCCUAGGUUUAGGUGUGAAUUAGGUACAGGGAAAACACAGAAGAACAUUUCUGCCUGCUGUCAGAUGCAGGUUCAGUCAGAGCCGGGAAGAUGCUGAGGUCAGAGCUUUUAAGCAGCUCCAGAGGUGUAUGGAUAGGACCCUUUGCACCCACCCUUGUUGCUAGUGUGAAGGUUGGCAACAAAUCACUGCCCCUGCCACAGCUGCUGUUCUGCCUCUGCCAGGCUCCUGAUAUUAGCUACCUGAGCUUUUCCACAGAUUAGAGGCAGGAGUAUGAGAGACACAGAAGUUGGCUUCUACAUUUUUUUACAUAAUAUAGCCCUCAAAAUACAGCUUCUUCUGAGUGAUGUGCCUGCCUGCUGGGAAUACAGAGGUGGUCCCAACAAAACUAAGAGUGCAGGUGAGAAGCUACUACCUUUUCCAAACCAGCCAUCAAAAUGGUGCAUUGUCCCAAAAUGUUUCCAUGGCAACACUCUGACAUAACUUUGGGGAGCAUGGUUUCUUCUCUCUCCUUUCAUGGAUCUUAAAUCCACAGUGUAAGACAAAUUACCUGGACCUGGUGUCACUCCUCUUGCCUCUCUGGCAAGGCAAUACCUCUCCAAAACAGCUGGAAGCCCACAGAUCCUUUGAAGAUACUUAUUUAAGGUCCUUGUUCUUUGAAAAUAUCAGGUCUACAGUAUUAAAUACCUCUGACACAUCAAAGAGGCAUGUCAUGCUAGUUGUUUUAUACAAACCACUGGAUGCAUGAUCAGAAGAACUCAGCUUGUAGUGUUUCUUGCAGUAUAAGGAACAAGCCUUUCAUAAUCCAGAUCUAUUGUGAAGCACCAUAUCUGCUGUAUAAGAAGGAGCAGUUCAUAACCAGUUGGAAAAUGGGUAAGAAAGUAUGUCAGACAUAAAAGUUCUGUUUACAUUUGUUGUGCAUAUAUUGCACAUAUAAGUCUCUAGACUGAGAUUGAAAAUCUUGUACCUUAGAUAAUACAUACUUCUAGUUAAAGGACAUGAGCUCUUCUGGGAUUGGUUUAAUAAGGGAUAUCAGCUUUUUGAAAGUGCAUGAUUCAUUUAAUGUACCUUUCUCAGCUGUGAAUCUUAGAAAAGUUGGCAUUUUUACAAAACUGCUUUCCCCCAGUUGAAUCUGAAUGCAAACACAUUGCCAAGGCUGGGUUUCUGUAACUUGACAUCUGUUCACAUUGAUUUUCAGGUAGACUUGCUCUGAAGGGAUAGUGUGUAAUGUCCACACUCUUAGAAAAGAGGAAAUGUAUUCCCCUGAGAUCAAAUUGAGAUAUAAUUGUCACAUGAGCUGAAGAAUCAGUCUGCAGUUUCUGAGGAAUUCUGGUCUUUUAAGCCAUUGAACCUGUCCUGUUCCACUCAAGUCAUCCAGCCCAAAUCAGGACAUAUUACAGGGGAGUCCUUUUUAAGAUGGAGUCUUCUUUGGGCUGGUUCAUUGCAGGAUGUUUGUCUUCUGCCUUGUAUAUCUAGUGUUUAGUUACUCUAACUGCAUAAUUCACAUCCAAAUACCCUGGUACAACUGCCACUGAAUGAUCUGCUAUGGGACUACAAGGGAUGCAUUUGCACCAUGCAAUGUAAAUUGAAUAAACAGGUUUGUAUUCAGAAUGCAAUGGAUACUACUGCCUGAUACGUCUCAGAGCUUUCUGGAAAUGGAAAUGUUUAGAAAAGUACUCCAAACUAUCUAUGGGCAGGAAAAAGUGAAAGACAUCCGCAUGGCUUGCAGGUGUGGAAUAAGACAACAGCUGAGUAGAUAUUUUACGUUUGAUGAUGAAACAGUCCCCUAGAUGUUUCUAUGAAAAAUGAGGAUGGGUAAGCCAGUUUUAAUGUGCAUGGAAGGAGCUGCAAACCAGGCCUGCACAGAAGAGCUACAAGUUUGCUGCAUUUCCAGCACUGCGAGGUUGUGCAAGAGAGGACAUCCAUCUUGUCUCUGCAGGAUCCACACCCUAUCUUUUUGCUGAGUGUCAUGGGACUCUGCAUGAGGCAGCUUGGGGUCACUAAUAAGGUUGCAAAGGAGAAAGUUACAAUAAC